rfam:Modestobacter sp. KNN45-2b asc16_sequence_0075, whole genome shotgun sequence.
GGCGUUCUUCGCGGCGGAGCUCGACCGCCCACAGCGGUGAUUGUCGAGUUUAUCGACGCUCACCGGGAGGAGCACGGGGUCGAGCCGAUCUGUGAGCAGCUGCAGAUCGCCCCG